rnacentral:siRNA from 1 species
UAGUUUGGGUGAACUAGCACAAAA